UACAGAGGUCUCAAGCGUUGUUCGGAUUCAUUGGGCGUAAGGGGUGCGUAGGUGGCGCUGUAAGUCAGGUGUGAAAUUUCGGAGCUUAACUCCGAAACUGCAUUUGAUACUGCGGUGCUUGAGGACUGGAGAGGAGACUGGAAUUUACGGUGUAGCAGUGAAAUGCGUAGAGAUCGUAAGGAAGACCAGUGGCGAAGGCGGGUCUCUGGACAGCUCCUGACACUGAGGCACGAAGGCCAGGGGAGCAAACGGG
rnacentral:rRNA from 1 species